rnacentral:rRNA from 1 species
UACGGAGGGAGCUAGCGUUAUUCGGAAUUACUGGGCGUAAAGCGUACGUAGGCGGCUUUGCAAGUUAGAGGUGAAAGCCUGGAGCUCAACUCCAGAACUGCCUUUAAAACUGCAUCGCUUGAAUCCAGGAGAGGUGAGUGGAAUUCCGAGUGUAGAGGUGAAAUUCGUAGAUAUUCGGAAGAACACCAGUGGCGAAGGCGGCUCACUGGACUGGGUAUUGACGCUGAGGUACGAAAAGCGUGGGGAGCAAACAGG